GACGAACGCUGGCGGCGUGCUUAACACAUGCAAGUCGAACGCUGAAGCUCAGCUUGCUGGGUGGAUGAGUGGCGAACGGGUGAGUAACACGUGAGUAACCUGCCCUCUUCUUUGGGAUAACGCCCGGAAACGGGUGCUAAUACUGGAUAUUCACUGAUUCUCGCAUGGGGGUUGGUGGAAAGGUUUUUUCUGGUGGGGGAUGGGCUCGCGGCCUAUCAGCUUGUUGGUGGGGUGAUGGCCUACCAAGGCUUUGACGGGUAGCCGGCCUGAGAGGGUGACCGGUCACAUUGGGACUGAGAUACGGACCAGACUCCUACGGGAGGCAGCAGUGGGGAAUAUUGCACAAUGGGCGAAAGCCUGAUGCAGCGACGCCGCGUGAGGGAUGGAGGCCUUCGGGUUGUAAACCUCUUUCGCUCAUGGUCAAGCCGCAGCUUGGGGUUGUGGUGAGGGUAGUGGGUAAAGAAGCGCCGGCUAACUACGUG
rnacentral:rRNA from 1 species